UCAGAGGUCACAGCUCAGGUAGGGGAGGAUGCUGUGGCUAUGAGAGGCUGACUCUGCCCUCCCUGGAAAAGGUACUCCAGGGUGGGUGGGAACGAAAAAUGGGCAACUUGGGUUGGAGGCACUAGGAUCUGGGUCUUGAGGCUGACAGUUUGCUGUGUGGCCUUGCCAGCCUGACUGUUCUUCCCUCACUAGCAGCACUGGCUGCAGCUAAGGAGCAAGGGGUCUCGCUGCCAAGCUGGAAUACAGAGGAGGAGGUGUAUUUGGGGGUUCAUGCCCCAGCUUCCCAGGGGCAGGUCUCAGGUAUUCACAGAAAGAAUGGCCUAGGGCUCUAGACUGAUGCUGUCUUAUCUGUCAGGAUCUGUCAGUAUGACAGGCCAGAACUGGGGUGGGGGUGGUUAUCUGAGAACCAAGGCCCUGACCAGGACAAAGAGGGACCACAGGAAUGCCAUGCCGAGCUCAGUAUUCCUGCAAUGUGGGCACAGGUGUUCCAAUAUGGAGUGGGUUUAAGGUCCUCUUGACCCAGGUCCCAAGAUUCUCAGCACAUAUCCAAGUGGAGAUUUUCCCCUCCCAUGGCUACCAUGUGCUUUGCUAGCCACCAUUUCCUGGGGACCACAUUCCUAGGGCCCAGAGGAUCAGGAAGUAGCUGCAGCCACAGGGGUCUGCACUCUUCCAGGGCUCUGCUUGCCCACCCUCCUGGGCAAUAUGCUUUUCCAGGGCUGAGCCCUUGGUUCUUCUAGAGUGAGUCUGGCGUGGCUCGGCAGGAGAUGCCAACAGGGACUCUGUUGCGGAGGGGGCUGAGUGGGCAGUAAAUGGGGGGGAGGGCUGUAUGCUAAUACAACUGCCCCUGGUGAAAACUGAAAACUGGCUUCUCAGACAUCAACAGGGCAAACAACACGUUACGUUCUCUGCGCAGAGGAGUUAUGGCUAAAGAUGCCUGCUUGAGUGGAUUGCAGACCUUGCGGUGCUACAUAAGCAUUUGGGUGUUCCUUCACAAGCCACACCUCGGUCCGUCCAUGACUGUGAGCUGGGACCCAAAGACACAACGCAGUGCAGAACCUGGGGACCAGUAGAAGGCCUGGGUGAGAGAGUCUGGUGGUGAGCAGAUUAUUGUAGAGUACCGCAGAGAUGCAGGGCAGCGGAGAGCCAGGAUGCUGGGCUGCUGAGGGCCACCGAAGACACUCAUAAGGAAAGAGGCUAAGGGUAAAGGGAGCCAUGCUCAUCACUGCCGGAGAUAAAGAAGAGGAUGUUGUCACUGAGCCCCUCACUGCCCCUCACGGAACCCAUGCACAUGUGAAGAUCAUGUUCUUUGUGUGUGGCCCCUGAUGGUUCUCCAGGCCUGUUCAGCACCUUCCUGGGAGCAGAGUGGGAAGUCUCUGCAUGCCCUUCAGUCCCCUCUUCCUCGACUUCCUGGAUC